AACACCUUUGGAGGAUUGCUCUGUCCCUGUCUGGACCUUUCUCUGUGUGGGGUCUGCUUGGCAUCACAUCAUUUACUUACCUCCCAGCGAAGUCUGCAGCCGGAAGUUUAAAAGACAGACGCUUUUCUGCUCCUUAAGUGGCUCCUGGGCUCCAAGAUACUCUGCACAUCACAGUCAAGUUCAAAAAGGAACUAUCUCCUUAUAAGUCAUUUUCCUUCUUCAAGUAACACUCCUUGAACUGCUUACCACUGUAGACAGCUGCUGGGUUUCAUCUCAGAUGGGUCAUGUGCUCUUCUCCUGUGAGGGAAGGAGACUGUGUUGUUUACUAAUGCUGCUGAAGAUACUCAAUGCAACUCACUUCCACGGGCCAGAAGGCCACCGCAUGGUGAUAGACCGCUGCUAUCUCUUCCGGUCUUAGGCUAGCUGAGCACACCUCACCCCGAGGGGAACCAGGACACAAAAGCAAGCGCUCUGUGCCUGUGCUGUGGACCGUCGAUAGCGGGAUUUGUUUUCCCCCGGAUGCCCAAACAGCGCACACUUUGAACACGCCGACAGCAUUCUGGACAAGUCUCCUUUAUACUGUUGGUUCCGAUGGGCUGUCGGGCUAUUUAAAUCCCUUUCUCAACCGGAACACAUGGCUAUCGGAUCCUGGCUGAUCAACCGUAACACACGGCUAAAAGAAGGAACCUGGCAGCUUUCGUGGGGUAGAAAGCCCUGUUAGUGCUCACACGAAGAUGCCACGAGUCUCCGGGUAAACCCAACAUUACAAGGGUGGAAUAUAACAAGUGAUCAAAAGUAAAGCUCAGUGGCUUCCAUUUUGGCAAACGGGACUGACGUAUGUGCAUUGAAGUGAGAUGUUAUGGACAGAAGGCAUCCUGCCCCAGGCUGGACACAGGAACACUUUCAUACUGGAUUGAAUCACCGACUUAGAAAUACAUCUCAAGAAUCAAGGAGAAAUCAAGACUCUUGGGGGAAAAGCAGUAUUUGUGAAGGGUUGUUUGUGCCUCAAGCCUGUGACUGACAUUUUACAUGUUGUUUCCAACGCCCUUUCUUGGGAGUUUGAUUCUGUUUAUACAUAG